rnacentral:lncRNA from 1 species
CUGGGGGUUUUAUGACCGCCUUUUUCAGGGGUGGACUGUUGGGCCACCUGAAACACACACAAACACACACAUGUCGAUGGUUAAGCACGUUGGAUAUUCACACACCCACAGGAAGCCACCUGCUAACUCCCUGCCUGUGUGGUCAUGAGGAGACCUCACCACCAGUCGGUCAAAUCUGUAGAACACAAUGUGCUGCGCGCAUCCUCGGAUAUUGUGUGUUCCUCUGCCAUGACUACCUAGUCCAAGAGUAAACCCCACCUGCCACAGGGCCCGUGGCCUAGGUAUGGGGGGUUGAGCUUUCAACCCCAAACAAACAACUGAUUCUGGAGACUGGACUUAGGUCUCUCACGAUUCACUCCGGUAGAAGACACGGUGAUUCUAUCUCCCUUGACGGACAGAAUGAUCGAAGACACAGGGCAUGGCGUGUGCCACCCUUUGGCAGGUCUGCUUGAAGUCAGGGAUAAGGGAUGCUUCCUGUGACAACUUGAAUCGCUACUCUUGCCAUUUCAUUAGGCAACUUCCAAACACAAAUUCAUACAGAGAAGUUACCUUCCUCUCUACCGCACUAGCAGGCUGGCGCUGAGAUGGGCAGGUGCUGCAGCAGCCCCGCUGGAAGCGAUGCAGCAUCCAGAACGACGGAGGAAGGGGCGGAGAGGGACCUCUGCUUUCCAGGCUGCCUUUUAUACUGCCUCUGGUCACCUGACAUGGAACGUACCCUAACCUAAUCAGUUACCUGUACCUUAAUUGCAAUUAACUUAAUCCAGUUACAUGACCUGGAAAGGUCUAUCUGCACAGCCCACUCUAAGAUCCUGUCCACUGCUGACAGACAUUCUAAAACCUACUUGUACAGCUGCAAGCUUUGAACAAUAGAUGUUCCCCGUCAGACAUGUAACACUGGUGCCUGUAUCCCUGUCUUCUUUUCCAUCUUUUUUGUUGUUUUGUUUUGUUUCGUUUUAAAAAAUGUGGUAAAAUAGACACCUUUUAAUUGGACCACAUUUUGUCUCUCUCGACGUAGGCCUCAGUGUCAUCAAGGAGACUCUCCUUGACAUGCAGUCACGGCCAUGAUCCAUCUUCAGAGCUUCUCUUUCUUCCCCAAGGCUGGCGCUGAGAUGGGCAGGUGCUGCAGCAGCCCCGCUGGAAGCGAUGCAGCAUCCAGAACGACGGAGGAAGGGGCGGAGAGGGACCUCCGCUUUCCAGGCUGCCUUUUAUACUGCCUCUGGUCACCUGACAUGGAACGUACCCUAACCUAAUCAGUUACCUGUACCUUAAUUGCAAUUAACUUAAUCCAAUUACAUGACCUGGAAAGGUCUAUCUGCACAGCCCACUCUAAGAUCCUGUCCACUGCUGACAGACAUUCUAAAACCUACUUGUACAGCUGCAAGCUUUGAACAAUAGAUGUUCCCCGUCAGACAUGUAACACUGGUGCCUGUACCCCUGUCUUCCUUUCCAUCUUUUUUGUUGUUUUGUUUUGUUUCGUUUUAAAAAAUGUGGUAAAAUAGACACCUUUUAAUUGGACCACAUUUUGUCUCUCUCGACGUAGGCCUCAGUGUCAUCAAGGAGACUCUCCUUGACAUGCAGUCACGGCCAUGAUCCAUCUUCAGAGCUUCUCUUUCUUCCCCAAGGCUGGCGCUGAGAUGGGCAGGUGCUGCAGCAGCCCCGCUGGAAGCGAUGCAGCAUCCAGAACGACGGAGGAAGGGGCGGAGAGGGACCUCUGCUUUCCAGGCUGCCUUUUAUACUGCCUCUGGUCACCUGACAUGGAACGUACCCUAACCUAAUCAGUUACCUGUACCUUAAUUGCAAUUAACUUAAUCCAGUUACAUGACCUGGAAAGGUCUAUCUGCACAGCCCACUCUAAGAUCCUGUCCACUGCUGACAGACAUUCUAAAACCUACUUGUACAGCUGCAAGCUUUGAACAAUAGAUGUUCCCCGUCAGACAUGUAACACUGGUGCCUGUAUCCCUGUCUUCUUUUCCAUCUUUUUUGUUGUUUUGUUUUGUUUCGUUUUAAAAAAUGUGGUAAAAUAGACACCUUUUAAUUGGACCACAUUUUGUCUCUCUCGACGUAGGCCUCAGUGUCAUCAAGGAGACUCUCCUUGACAUGCAGUCACGGCCAUGAUCCAUCUUCAGAGCUUCUCUUUCUUCCCCAAGGUAAGUCUGUCAGCAGAGAACCCUGACCGCACCCUCAUGUGUUUUCUCCCCCAGGAGGCGCUUGGAAACCACCGUGAAUUGGACCGCACUGGGAAACACAGAUGAGGAAAGUCAACAACGCUUUGUCCUUCAGUGCCUGGCUCCUUUUUCAGCUCGUCUUGCGACUCCCGGACGCCUGUGAGGCUCUAAUUCCCUGGGUCCCAUUGCCAUGUCUCUGGAUUUGCGAAGAUCCACCGCACCUUCUGUGGAACUCCCGUGUCGGUGAACUUUUGUGCCACGGCCCCUAAUUCUGCCCAUGGUCAUCCGCACCUGCACGACUUAGGGUCCAUGUUCCUUGGACGGGAAGAGACAGGCAGGAGUCGGAAUGAUGAACCAGCACACUGGGGCGUUUUCUCAUGUAGCCCAAGUGACCCCAUGGUCUUCUCGAGCUUUGGAACCAGUCGCGUCCCCUUUGACACUGCACCCGGCUCCCAGUCUCUCAAUCUUGUUGGCCCUCCGGCGAUCUCCCGUUGGAUGAAUUGCUCCUGCUGAAACUCCAGUCCCCUUUGAUUUACGCUUCAUUAAUUAUUCAUGAUUCAGGUUGGAAGGCCUGCUGACGACCCCCUGUGGCCGUUCUCUGAGCUUUCCUGUCACAUCGUUUCCUUCCACGCUCUUUGGUUCCUUAUGGUCCUGCUCCCUCUGCUGUCAGAGGAGCAGAGAGUUGAUCUUAUUCAUUCUGGAUACGGAUACUUUCUAGGUGAUCUGGAUAAUCAAGAUAACGACCCUCAACAGCGGCGGAGAGGGAGCAGCCAGUUGGUGUGUCUCAGAAAAUCCCACUGAGUUCCGAGGCCUCCUAGAUGUGGAAUCCUGCUGAGAGUUGUUCCCAGGUCAGAGAAUGGAGAGAGCCUGUGCAUGAUGGGAUAUCCCCGCCUAGAUCUUUCAGUGAGUCUCUACCUCAGCUACUCUUAGGAUCAGGGGGAGAACCAUGGUGUCAGACAUCCGGAAAGAAGACGGGAUGAAUGUUUUACCUCUGAAGUACAUCCCAAAUGUGGGAGUUAACUUCAGCUUUGCUGGGGUCUAUUUGGCCAGUGAAACUCUGCCUGGUUCCUUCGCACAUCCGGAAGCCACUUCACGGGGGGCCGUCGCAACUGGAACCACACACUUGGCAUCGGCGGUUGAGCCAAAUGGGGACUCGUGGUGCAAGCAACGCUCCCCACGUGUUAGCGUGCGUGAGAUGCGGUUGGCGGAAUUUUACUAGGUGCGUGUUGGUAGAGUGGGGCUGAGGUUUUCUUGCUCCUGUGGAUGUAUAGCAAGUCAAAGGUCCUGCCCAGCCCUGCGGUCCCCUCAGUCAACUCUGUUUCGGAGACGUAACGAUUUGGAUUGCCAACAAGUCAAGAAAUGUUCAAGCCCUUGGAUGUAGGGUAAAGAAAGAGAGAUCAGACUGUCACUGUGUCUAUGUAGAAGGGGAAGACAUAAGAGACUCCAUUUUGAAAAAGACCUGUAGUUUAAACAAUUGCUUUGCUGAGAUGUUGAUCAUUUGUAGCUUUGCCGCAGCCCCUUCCUUUGACCCAACUUGGAGCUCACAAAAACCUGUGUUGUAUAAAAUCGAGGUUUAAGGGAUCUAGGGCUGUGCAGGACGCGCCUUGUUAACCAAAUGUUUACGAGCAGUAUACUUGGUAGGAGUCAUUGCCAUUCCCUAGUCUCAAUAAACCAGGGGCGCAAUGCACCGUGGAAAGCCACAGGGACCUCUGCCCUUGAAAGCAGGUUAUUGUCCAAGGUUUCUCCCCAUGUGACAGUCUGAAAUAUGGCCUCGUGGGAUGGGAAAGACCUGACUGUCCCCCAGCCUGACACCCGCAAUGGGUCUGUGCUGAGGUGGAUUAGUCAAAGAGGAAAGCCUCUUGCAGUUCAGAUGGAGGAAGGCCACUGUCUCCUGCUUGCCCCUGGGAACUGAAUGUCUCGGUGUAAAGCCCGAUCGUACAUUUGUUCAACUCUGAGCUCGGAGAAAAGCUGCCCUGUGGCGGGAGGCGAGACAUGUUGGCAGUAAUGCUGCCUUGUUAUUCUUUACUCCGCUGAGAUAUUUGUGUGGAGAGAAACAUAAAUCUGGCCUACGUGCACGUCCAGGCAUAGUACCUUCCCUUGAACUUAAUAAUGAUAUGGAUUCUUUUGCUCACGUGUUUGUUUUUGUUGUUGCUGUUGAACUUCCCCUUAUUAUCACCCUGCUCCCCUACUGCAUUCCUUUGUGCUGUAAUAAUGAUAAUCAUAAUCAAUAAAAACUGAGGGAACUCAGAGGCCGGUGCCGGUGCAGGUCCUAGGUGUGCUGAGUGCCGGUCCCCUGGACCCACUGUUGUCUCCCUA